CUCGAGCGGCUUCGUUGGUUCGCAGCAGCCUGUCUUGUUUCAAAGCUGAUGGAAGGAAACGACUUUCGCACGUCAUAAAUGUUGCCAAGCGUAGGAUCAUAGAGGCAUAGAUAGGAUAGGCAGUCUAAAAGCACUUUGUUUUGUAACUGUAUUUAGUAUACUUUGAUUACUACAUCUUCAACAUUUAUUUUUUUGUCCUUUUUUACGGACUUAGGCUAAAUGAAAAUAGGACGCAGUAAGGCAUUCUCUUUCACAAAAAUAGUUUCAUCUUAUUGCCUCAUAUAAUAUAAAAAGAGGCAUUUUACAGUGCAGCCAAGUAUGUAUGUACUAAGCCCUUUAGGCUGGGCUUUUGAACAAAAUUGCUUAGCGUUAUGCUAUUAGGUUAUAAAUGUGUGCUGGCUCUCCUAUUAGAUGGAAUGAAACUGCAGUAUUCUUAUUCUUAGUUGGAAUAAGACUAUUCUUAUCCUAUUCUUAUUUCCUAUUAGAUGGAAUGAAACAGUUGUGGCCACAAGCAAGUGCAUUUAAAGAGGAAGAGCAACAGAAUGGCCUCUCCUGUUUCUGUGAAGCCUAAGGCUGCCUUGCUAUUUCCAAUCUAACUUGGUGCCCCUUGUUGCAGGCCUAUAAACCAUUUUCCCCUGGCACUAGAGAAACUGUGAUUCGGGGUAGAUCUAAACCUAUCUAACAAGGAAUCAUAGACAAGGAGGUUCCCCAGAAGACUUGCUUCAGCCAAUUUUAGUUGGCAGAAUCUUACUCUGAGUUCUUCUGAGCAAGAUGAAUUCAAAGGAUUGAAAGAAGGGGCACCAGCUCUUGCUGUGACCUUGCAGCUGCUAAGUUACUGUGAACUCCAUUGUGUGCAGACACAAUGAAAGUUAGAUGCUAAGUUCACUGGUCAGCUACUUGAACUAAUUGAGAAACUGCUUCACAGGGAAAUUGUUAAAGGAGAGAAUGCACUGACCAAGCUGGAGGUUUCUAAUAGCAACCAGUGCAAUCUGCAAAGCAGCGAUUCUUCAAGAUGAAGCUUUCCUCAAAAAAUGCCAGAUCCCAACCUCAGCGAAACUUCAUGGAAAAUGGCCCUUUGAAGGAAGGAGACUCUUGGAAAAGCAAGUAUUUCUCUGAAGGAAAAGGAACAGGCAAGUCAUCUUCUUAUCCUGAACUCUACGUUGUGGGCCAAGGACUCCAGAAGGCCUAAGUGGAAGUAGUAAAAUCUGGAGAUGGAAGUCACAACCCAGACUGAGUAUUAUUUGUAUGUUCGCCUAUGGAAUAUACAUUCCUUUUACUAACCAUAUCAAAGAAGCCAAGAUACUGGGUAGAAUUUGACAGCUGAACAUUUUGAGGUUCUGAAAAGCAUAUGAAGCCCACACCUUAGAACAAUAAGAAUAUUCAAAAUAUGCAGAGGUCAAUAUUUGCAAGCUAAAGUGUUGUGAGCCACAAAAAGCAUGUAAAGUGCCAGACAUUUCUUACACCUAAUUCUAGACAACUCUAGUAAAGGAGUUAAACCCACAUCGUUUAGGGAAUGACAAGGGAAAGCAACCCAUGAGAACAUCUGGUCUAAGAAUCUCCUUUAUUACAUCUACAUUUAUGAAAGCUUGUUGUGGGUGCUCAAAAAAAAACUGGCUAUCCUGGGAGUGGGCUUGCCUAAAGGCUGCCAUGGGAGGCACAGCCAGUUGCAAAACUCCUAUUUUAUUAGGACAUGUUUAUGAAGAUUCUCAGUCAUCCAGGUGGAUUGUCUGGAGGUUGAG